rnacentral:rRNA from 1 species
GAUGAACGCUAGCUACAGGCUUAACACAUGCAAGUCGAGGGGUAACGAGAGGAAAGCUUGCUUUCCUUGUCGACGACCGGCGCACGGGUGAGUAACGCGUAUCCAACCUGCCCCCAACUAAGGAAUAACCUUGCGAAAGUAAGACUAAUACCUUAUAAUUUCCUCAGAUGUCAUCUGACGAGGAAUAAAGAUUUAUCGGUUGUGGAUGGGGAUGCGUGUGAUUAGCUUGUUGGCGGGGUAACGGCCCACCAAGGCAACGAUCAGUAGGGGUUCUGAGAGGAAGGUCCCCCACAUUGGAACUGAGACCCGGUCCAAACUCCUACGGGAGGCAGCAGUGAGGGAUAUUGGUCAAGGGGCGGAAGCCUGAACCAGCCAAGUAGCGUGCAGGAUGACGGCCCUAUGGGUUGUAAACUGCUUUUAUACAGGAAUAAAGUUAGCCACGUGUGGUUAUUUGUAGGUACUGUAUGAAUAAGGACCGGCUAAUUCCGUGCCAGCCGCCGCAGUAA